rnacentral:rRNA from 1 species
UGAGGAAUUUUGGUCAAUGGACGGAAGUCUGAACCAGCCAAGUCGCGUGAAGGAAGGCGGCCCUAAGGGUUGUAAACUUCUUUUGUAAGGGAAUAAAGUGCGUUACGUGUAGUGCAUUGCAAGUACCUUACGAAUAAGGAUCGGCUAACUCCGUG